GAAAUGCGAUAAGUAGUGUGAAUUGCAGAAUUCAGUGAAUCAUCGAAUCUUUGAACGCACAUUGCGCCUCCUGGUAUUCCGGGAGGCAUGCCUGUUCGAGCGUCAUUAAAAUCUCUCAAGCUUAGGUUUUUACCUAUUGCUUGGUCUUGGAGAUGGAAGCCAAUUCAUUGGAAUCCUCUUCGAAAUUCAAUGGCGAAGACCCUUGCUCUCCCAAGUGUAGUAAUAACUUAUAUCACUGAAGGAAGCGAGAAAUCUUCCGCCGAAACCCCCAUAUUUUCUAUGAUUGACCUCGGAUCAGGUAGGGAUACCCGCUGAACUUAA
rnacentral:misc_RNA from 1 species